CAUCCAUAGACCCAGGGCUGAUGUUAAGUCCAUACAUUGUUAUUGAUCGAGUUGAGAAGCAGUUGGAACUUGCUGCUUUAAAGAGACAGAUACGGAGCAAAGGCAGUCAGUCUCCAGGGUCAAAGAAGCAAUGUACCUUUCAAAACAUGACAACCAAACUGAUGAAUAUUGUCAAGAACAAAUUCUUAAUAGAUGUACAGACGUUCUACAAAAAGAAGAACAAAGCUAGAGGGACUCCACAUACAAAGGU